ACAAAAAGAGAGAGAGCUUGAGAGAGUUUAGUCCGUUCUGAGAGUUUUUCAUUCUGGUGAGUGUUACUUGAGCGAAAGUGAGUUGUAACUGAGGGGGAGCCCGAAAAUCAUAAUCAGGGCAAACCAUUCAGGGGAGUGUGGAAACACUUGGGGUGCGUUUUGCUGAUAGAAUUUACGUUGUAAAGGGGAACAAACUCAGGGGGAGUUGUGUUCGUGGGUUGGAUUAAGCUCGAACAAGAAAGAGUUGUAAUUCACGAGUGAAUAGAAUCAGUGUAUUGUUGAAGAGUGCGUAUUCGGUCCUUCUUCCUCGGUCUUGUCCAUAUGCUUUUUUUUGGUUCCAUUUCUAUUUCGAUUUAGGGUUUGAUUUCUUCCUCUGUUGGGCUUUUCCCUUGAUCUCUCGUCGUCUCUUCCAUGGCAAUCGCAACGGAGACGACACGACCACAUGAUAAGGUAAGGAACACCUUCUUCGGAUGAAUGAAAUCUUGUUUCCUUUUUCGAUUUUCUUGUUCUUUGGUGAAAUCAGCUUCGAGAUAUCUUUGCGAACGUAUGUGGGUUCAGGGUCCUUUUCCUGAGAGAUCACAAAGGAUAUGGACAAGAUCUUGAAUUAGGGUAUGCAUUUACGUUUACAAAGUUUAUACGCAUGGACUUAAUUGAUAGAUUGAAAAGCUUUACCGAGUGAUAAGAGGGGCUCCAAACAUGAUCAUUUACAUCGUUGCAAUUUACUCGGUUAUUUUCUCUGGUUAUGUAUGUCUCUGUAACAUGCUAUGCGAUUUUUUCCAUAAUUGAUUACUGGGGAAAUGAAGAUGGUGCUGGAGAAAUGGGAACUGUGACAAGUAAAACUUGUCUGAGAGGUCUCUAUGGCUUAUUUUACGAGGUAGAGAUGCUCGUGUUUUCUGGGUACAAGUUUUCUGAGUUCAGAUUUCCUUAUCAAAGAUUAGCCUUCUGUUACUUGUGGUACCAUCUAUAGAUUGAUGGAUCUAUAUUGAUGAAGUUCAUUGGAAAUGGGUUUCUAGAUAUUUUUUUCCCCUUGGAUGCCUGGAUGGUUAUCAAUGCAGUUCAGAAAGCAAAUUCUCUUUGGGGAGGAUGUGGCCAUUAGUAUAAAUGACCUCUCCUAUUGAUUUGGGACUUCUAUUCUUCUAUAUAUAUUUGCUGUUGUAGUAAUCUGUGCAGUGAUUGGUUCACUUGAGCACACAUUGUCAGGCUUGGCGCUUGAGGUAUCGGUUACGGUGGAUGGUGGAAGUCCGAGGAAGAUGCUGCUGAGAGUUGAAAACGGUUCAAGUAUAGCACCGGUGGAACUGCACUUUAUUCUUGCGUACUCUUAAUGCAGGGAAGUUUGCUUUUAUCUCUAGCAUCGGAGGAAGUGGUAGUCUCAAUGGCUGUGGAAGGAUUGGUUUCCACUGGUCAGACAUUCCUACUGGAGAUGACUAUCAUCAUCAUAUUGCCGAAGUUAAGGGAAUAAUUUAUGCAUGUCCUUCCGGAACUUAUUAGAAUGUUUCUGGAUCCGAUAAAGCCCUUUGUCAUCUUUGUCCACCUACCGAUCUUCAUCAUCAAUCUUAUCUGAUCUUUAUUCACUAAUUCUGGCCAAAAUGUGUGGGCCGGAGCUGUCUUAGGUGGUCCUUUGCAGAAUGCAUCAGGCGGUGCCGUGUAAGUUCUGAAGGUUUAAGUGAUCCUAACUUUAUAUUUUCUCUGUUCUUUGGACGGAGCCCGUCGAAAUUGAUUUUUCUAUCUUUUUUUUUUCGAAAGUACGCCAAGGUUUUACUGUGAGACAAGUUUCCCAAAGUUACAAUACUGUCACAUGAUUUAUGUAAGGUGUAAAGUGGUGCUGGGGGAGGUAGGUUUCUGAUAACGUAAUUGGUAACGGUGGUGGACGAGGAUGUUACAAUCUUAAUUUUAUAGACGGUGGUGAUUCUUAGAGGGAUGUGGAUCUUCCUUGUGACUUCGGCAGUGGAAGUGGAGAUGAAGAUUCGAGUGAUUCAGUUACUGGUGGCGGAGUCCUGGGUGAGUCGUUGUUGGCUCAUUUGGAAUGAUCCAUUAUCAAGCUUGUCACUUGAGGGAUCGAUUACGGAUGAUGAUGGUAGUCGGAGGAGGAUGGUCAAACUUGUAAACAAUGGUCAGACAUUCCUCUUUUCUUGCAUACACUGGUCAGACAUUCCUACUGGAGAUGACUAUCUUCCUAUUGCCAAAGUAAAGGGAAGAAUUUAUGUAAGGUUUGUUUUACAAAAGUUCCUUUUUUUUUUCCUGUGAUGCAUUUACAUUUACAAAGUUUAUACACUGGAGAUGACUAUCUUCCUAUUAUUUGCAUUGUUGCAGUUUUCUUGUUUACUUUUUCUGGUUUUGUCUCUGUAUCGUCCAAAGUGAUUUGCUAUAGUUUAUUACACCGGAGGAGCGAGUAUCAGUGAAGGUUAUGCUGCGGAAAUGGGAACUUUGACUGUUAAAGCUUGUCCAGGAGGACUCUACGGCUUAUUUUGCGAGGCAUGUCCUACCGGAACUUAUUAGAAUGUCUCUGGAUCCGAUAAAGCUCUUUGUCAUUGUUGUCCACCUGUUGGUCUUCCCCUUCGCACCUUAUACGUCACUGUUCGAGAUUCUUCUGUAUUUUUAAACACCAAUCUAAUCUGAUCUUAAGCCACUAAUUCUGGCCAAAAUGUGGUGUUGCUGAAACACCUCGUCCAUAUCGACGCAUUUCUGAUGUCGAAUUGUUACACUACAUUGGAAGAGUUGAUGCAGAAUCUUUUGGUUGUUUGAUGUUUUUUCAACUGUUGCUCGGUUGAAAUCGGCUAGCGCUGAUGAAUCACCCGGGAGUGCACUUGGCCCUUCAUGGCUCUGGAAUUGAUCACUCUCUUCCUGUACUUGAAUCACUUAACAAGAUUGCGAUACUCACUCUCGGCGCCUGGACGCUUGCAACCGACAGCCGUAGUUGUGUUUUGGUCGAUCUUUUCCUCUCUCUUUUUCCAAGGUCUGAUUAUUGCGGAAGACGUUUGCAGAGUUGGAUAUAAGUUGGAAAGCAGGUGGUUGUUUGUGUCUAAUGUCUGAAAACUGCGUAUAGCGGCUACAUGUCUGUAAUUUCCAUUCAAGAACAUGGAUAUGCAGAUGUAUACGUAAGUGUGUUGAUCUGUAUAUAUUUAAAAAAAAAAAGUACUAUUAGAACACAGAGCAGGUGAAACGUCCAAGCGAGAAAUUACAAGGACCAACAGGUUGCUGCCACGCCGAGGUUGACAAUGGUGGAUCAUUCACCACAUUCGAUUUCUAAACAUAUUUAAUUGGGUCAUUAUAAAAAAUAAUCUUACUUUGCUAUUUUUUACCCAUGUGACCAGAAAUUUAAUCUUUAUAUCAUAUCUUGGUCACAACGUUAAAUUUA